UAAUACGUAGGGGGCAAGCGUUGUCCGGAAUUACUGGGCGUAAAGGGCGUGUAGGUGGGAAUUUAAGUCAUGGGUGUAAACUGCGGGCUCAACCCGGAGAUUGCCUAUGAAACUGGAUUUCUUGAGGGCAGGAGAGGAAAGUGGAAUUCCUAGUGUAGCGGUGAAAUGCGUAGAUAUUAGGAGGAACACCAGUGGCGAAGGCGACUUUCUGGACUGGCCCUGACACUGAGGCGCGAAAGCUAGGGGAGCGAACGGGAUUAGAUACCCCGGUAGUCCUAGCCGUAAACGAUGGGUACUAGGUGUGGGAGGUAUCGACCCCUUCCGUGCCGCAGUUAACGCAAUAAGUACCCCGCCUGGGGAGUACGGCCGCAAGGUUG
rnacentral:rRNA from 1 species